GACGAACGCUGGCGGCGUGCCUAAUACAUGCAAGUAGAACGCAGUUUCGAACGGGUGAGUAACGCGUAGGUAACUGCCUCAUAGCGGGGGAUAACUAUUGGAAACGAUAGCUAAUACCGCAUACUUUUAGAUAGACCUGCGUUGGAUUAGGUAGUUGGUGAGGUAAAGGCUCACCAAGGCGAAGAUCCAUACCCGGCCUGAGAGGGGGAUCGGGCAAAACGGGACUGAGACAAGGCCCAGACCUCUACGGGAGGGCAGAGUAGGGAAACUUCGGAAAUGGAGGGAAGGCUGAACGAGCAAAGCCGCGGGAGUGAAGAAGGUUUUCGGAUUGUAAAGCUCUGUUGUUAGAGAAGCGGUAACUAAACAGAAAGGGACGGCUAACUACGUGCCAGCAGCCGCGGUAAUUC
rnacentral:rRNA from 1 species